GAUCCUGGCUCAGGAUGAACGCUAGCUACAGGCUUAACACAUGCAAGUCGAGGGGAAACGAUAUUGGAAGCUUGCUUCCGAUAGGCGUCGACCGGCGCACGAGUGAGUAACGCGUAUCCAACCUGCCCAUCACUUGGGGAUAACCUUGCGAAAGUAAGACUAAUACCCAAUGACGUCUCUAGAAGACAUCUGAAAGAGAUUAAAGAUUUAUCGGUGAUGGAUGGGGAUGCGUCUGAUUAGCUUGUUGGCGGGGUAACGGCCCACCAAGGCGACGAUCAGUAGGGGUUCUGAGAGGAAGGUCCCCCACAUUGGAACUGAGACACGGUCCAAACUCCUACGGGAGGCAGCAGUGAGGAAUAUUGGUCAAUGGACGAGAGUCUGAACCAGCCAAGUAGCGUGAAGGAUGAAGGUCCUACGGAUUGUAAACUUCUUUUAUAAGGGAAUAAACCCUCCCACGUGUGGGAGCUUGUAUGUACCUUAUGAAUAAGCAUCGGCUAACUCCGUG
rnacentral:rRNA from 1 species